rnacentral:rRNA from 1 species
CAGCACCUCAAGUGGUCAGGAUGAUUAUUGGGCCUAAAGCAUCCGUAGCCGGCGCUGUAAGUUUUCGGUUAAAUCUGUACGCUCAACGUACAGGCUGCCGGGAAUACUGCAGCGCUAGGGAGUGGGAGAGGUAGACGGUACUCGGUAGGAAGGGGUAAAAUCCUUUGAUCUAUUGAUGACCACCUGUGACGAAGGCGGUCUACCAGAACACGUCCGACGGUGAGGGAUGAAAGCUGGGGGAGCAAACCGGAUUAGAGACCCGAGUAGUCC